UGCUAUACCAUGUGAUCCUGAAGGAAAACA
rnacentral:piRNA from 1 species